AUUGAACGCUGGCGGCAUGCUUUACACAUGCAAGUCGAACGGCAGCACGGACUCCGGUCUGGUGGCGAGUGGCGAACGGGUGAGUAAUACAUCGGAACGUACCCAGUAAUGGGGGAUAGCUAUCCGAAAGGAUAGCUAAUACCGCAUACGCCCUACGGGGGAAAGAGGGGGAACGCAAGACCUCUUGUUAGUGGAGCGGCCGAUGGCGGAUAGCUAGUUGGUGGGGUAAAGGCCUACCAAGGCAACGAUCAGUAGCGGGUCUUAGAGGACGAUCCGCCACACUGGAACUGAGACACGGUCCAGACUCCUACGGGAGGCAGCAGUGGGGAAUCUUGGACAAUGGGCGCAAGCCUGAUCCAGCAAUGCCGCGUGCGUGAAGAAGGCCUUCGGGUUGUAAAGCGCUUUUGUCAGGGAGCAAAUCCUUGUGGCUAAUACCCACCGGGGAUGAGAGUACCUGAAGAAUAAGGACCGGCUAACUACGUGCCAGCCGCCGCGGUAAGAC
rnacentral:rRNA from 1 species